ensembl:lncRNA
CCAAGAUCAAGGUUCCAGCAGGGUUUGGUUCUGGUGAGGGCUCUCUUCCUGGCAGGCAGACUGCCGCCUUUUUGCUGCGUUCUCACAUGGUAGAGAGGGAGAGAGAGCUCUGACAUCUCCUCCUCUUUUAUAAGGACACCAGCCCUAUUGGAUCAUGGCUUACCCUCAUGACCUCAGUUAACCUUAAUCAUCUGGUGACAGGCCCGGUCUCCAAUACAGUCACGUGAGGAGUUAGGGCUUCAGCAGGUGGAGUUCUGGGAGACACAGUUCAGCCCAUAGCAGUCCUAUAGCUCCACCUGGGCGCAAGAAACCCCUUACAGAGUCCCACACAGGCUCUGUCCAGCAAUAUUUGGUUGUACUUCUGGAUGGCUGGAUUUCUGAGGGCGGCACCUCAGAGCAGGCAUGUCCUGCUGUCUGGAGUGAGGAGCCUGGGAUAAAGGGCUGAUGUUCCGGAUUCUGAGGCCCCAGUCCUUUUGGAGGGAAAUGGCAUUUCUGGCGUUUCUGCUUCUCUGGCUGUCUUGGCACCAUGAGGCUGCCCGAGGCACCUGAUGUGCCCCAUGUGAGGCGGCACCUUCCCCUCCCUGCCCCAGUGGCCCAGCCCAUCUGGCAUAGCACCAGUCCUCGUGACGGCGCUCUCUCUGCUGCCCCCAGGGUCGCUGUUUCACGUGAACUCUGGGGAAGGGGGUGGGAGCUGGGGGGCCGUGCUCAAUAUAUGUCCUAAUUUUAGAUGUAAGAUGGGCAGAUUUCCCUGUGUUCUAGCUAGGACUAAUGAUAGAAGCCCAAAUACAAUCAGGUCAGGAACAAAAGGGUCCUUCCUGACUCUCAGAACUAGUUCAGUGAGUUUCUUCAGCAGCAAUGGGGUCAGGCUGUCAAUGCCUGCCAGGAGUCAGCCUGCCGCCCUCUCUCAGCUCUGCUCUGCCCUGACUGGACCUUCCCUGCUGUGGAAAAGAACUCCAGCGCUCCAGGUGCACACGAUUCCUGCAGUUGGCAAUUGGGAGUCUGUGGCCCUGGGUCGCCAGCCUGGCAGCACUGUGUCUGGUGCUGGAGUCUCCAUGAGGAAGCUGUGUGUGGACACAAGUGCAAGUUUGCCUGCUCUUCAGCCUCUCCACGGCGUGCAUCUGAGGUGCAGGCUCGGCCAUAUUGCCCACACUCAGAAGAGAGCAUCAGGAACCUUCUGCUGUCAGGACAACUGGACCACGUGCCUCCCAUUCCCAGGUCCCAGCAUGCUGUGGCUGCCUCUGUUCAGCUGUGGUCUUCCUCCCGUGCAGCACGCUCCUCCCAGCCCCAUCGCUGUCUUUGCAGGCUGAUCAGCAUGGUCACGAACAUGGGGCCACCCAGGGGAACUGGUGUCCCACGCCUGGCCUCUUCUUGCCUGAGGUGCUUGUUGGCCAUAAUCAUAUGGCUCUUUGGCCCAUCCCAAGGCGGCCUUAUGUCAACAUGCUUUUAACUUUCUGGCAAGUCUUCCUUGUCUUGCCUGUGUGUGUGUUUUUUUUUUCUAUUGUGAUUUUUUUCUCCAGCAUGUCCUCACCCCCUUCAGGCUCCAUGCAAGCCAGCAAGGAGGGGCCAGGAGAGGUGGGGAUGGCAGCUGCUAUGGCUUAGUUUCCUUAAAGUUGUGUCCUUGGCUUUGUGGAGCUUGAGGGGAGGUUUGUAGGCUUUUAAUAUUUUUUGCUCUUUGGAUGGAAACCCAGGGCCUCCCGGUGGCAUUCUCCUCCACUGGAGGGUGCUGUAGUGUAGGAGUGGUAGUCGUGGAAUUGAUUUAAAAGCUGUUUGUUCCAAUUUCAAUAAGAGGACCAUGGGAGAUGUCACCACGUUAGACUAUGGGUUGGUGGUCUUUGGGGAUGGUGGUGGGAGAGGGAGUUCCCAUUGUCCCUCAUCCCAAGAUGCCAUUAAUCUUGAAGCAGGGCUCGGGAAGUGAUCCCAAGACAGGAGUGAGGACAAAGCCCUCAUCUCCCAGGGGUGGGGUGUUUGUUCCAGCCUCUGAAGUUUGGGAAGCCUAUGUCAUCUUUUAUAGGGUGUGGGGAUGCCUCACGGAGGCAGUCAAGGCCCAAGGUGGGAAAGUGGUCCCUGGGGGAUGGAUGGGGGUCUCAUCCCCCAUGCAGCUGCACAGCAUCCUGAGGCAGGGCCUCAUGGUCAGGUGUGGGGUCCAGAGUCAGUCAGACCCAAGGACAGGCUGGUGGUGUCAUGUGUGCCCAGCCUGGGGGGCUAUGGCCUUGGGGGUCCUGAGGGCCAGGAGGGUCUAGUGCUGGCAUGGAGGCCUGGAGUGUGUUGGGCAGCCUGAGACCAGACCCCGGAGGAACUCUCAGGAGAGCCUGGGCACAUUUUGAAGCAUAUUCAUUGCUGGAAAGGAAUACCCCUGCAGAGUGGGUCUGUGGGAACAUUCUGUGGUUUUCCCCAGUUUAAUCCUUCGGUUCUGGCGUUCAACAAUUGAUUUUUCUGGCUCCCAGAUUACAGCUUUGUUUUCUAAACUCUAGCUCAGUCUUUUCCAAACUUGGUUGGUGGUAGGCUUUGGAAGAAUAAUUUCACCAAACUUCUCCGAGACCCAAGUGUCAGAUGACUAAGAGCAGAGCUCAGGAGCCAGAGUGGUCCUCUAGCUUCCGCAGUCACCUGUCUUGUAAGUUACUAGCGCAGGGGCAGCUCUGAGUGAGUGUCUCCUAAGCGGUUUCCUUAGUGGGUGGAAAUAAACGAAGACCACCCAAAUGAGAACAAAGGCUGUUUAUUCAGAGCUGCUAUAGCGAGGGGGUCCGCGGCCAUCACUUGUGUCCUGACAGACUCACAGGCAAGUGAGGAGUGGAGAAGCUUCAUCAUGGAAAAGGGGAGGCUUCGGAGGCCUGGUGGAGGCUGUGGGCCUGGGGAAGCCAGAGGCGACUGGUGAGAAGUGGGCAUCCCAUGAGAUUAGCUAGGGGACAUACUGCGCUUUCUCUGGUUGGUCCUAGAUUGGAAGCAGGGACAAAAACUAGGAAAACUGUCAGUUAUUAAUCAAGUCCUGGCCCAUUGGGUCUGAUUGUUAGAGAAUGUAUUGUUUAAUUUCCCGUAUUAUUUCUAGAGAUAGCAAUCUGAAUUCUUACAAGCCUUGCAUAGAACAGGCUGGCCUCCUGGACUGGUUCCUGUAGAUGUCGGCUUGGCCUGCUGGGUUGCUUCCUGUAGAUGACAGCUUGGCCUCCUGGGCUGAUUCCUGUAGAUGAUGGCUUGGCCUCCCAGGCUGGUUCCUGUAGAUGUCGGCUUGGCCUCCUGGGCUGGCUGCUGCAGGGGUUGGGUGGGAGUUCUACUCUUACAGAUGUUCUGGCCAUUGUGCAUUUGUGUACUCAGUCUCUGAAGUGCUCGGCCAUAGUAAGCACUCCCUAAAAAGUAGCUAUUGUUGUCUCUCCCACCUGACGAUGACCAGAUUAUUCACCUGGACUGUCUGAGAACUAAGCCCUGCCCAUUUCAGUGGCUGCUUGGCAGGCACGCCCUGGGCCAUCUCCAGAUCUGGCUGACUCUGGCCUCAUGUGGUCUUUCCAUGGUAGCUCUACCUAGGGGGCUUUGGCACAUCAGUGCAGUCAGAUGACAUGGUGGAAAUAUUUGUUGAAUGGAUUGCUAGACUCCUUUUCUAGAGGUUCAGGGUCCACAACCAAUGUCAUCAUAUUAUGUGCUUUGCAUUUUAAAUUCUCUAACGUCGUAGUCUUCCCCAGGCCAGUGUACAUCCUUUACAGGGAAUAAGGCACUUUCAGAAUGUCUUAUCAGUCUCUCUCCUCACAUUUCUUGAUUUCUUUUUGUGUCCUUUUCUCACUCAUUUCCUUUCGUAUGUUCCUUUGAUCUCCAACUUUUCCUUAGUUUCUCAUUAUUCUGACUAUUCCCUAAUUUUCACAGCUUCCAAAAUACUUCCAGAAUGGGAGAUUGUAUUAGUUUUUUCCUAUUGCUGCUAUAAGAAGUUACCGUAAACCUGAUGGCUUAAAACAACACAAACUUAUUACCUUAGAGUUCUGGAGGUCAGAAGUCUCAUGGAGCUAAAAUCAAGGUGCCAGCAGGGCUGGUUUCUUCUGGAGGCAUCAGAAGAGGAUCCAUUUCUUUGCCUUUUCCACUUUCUGGAGGUCACAUGUAAUCCCUUGGCUCAUGGCCCAUCCCUCCCUCUGAAAGCAAGUAGAGUAGUAUCUCCAGGUUGGUCGGUGUCUCUCUCCUGUCCUCUCCGACCCCUGCUCUGUUAUGUUUGAAGGAUGUUUACAUUCAUCUCAUUUGAUUCAAAUAUUCGAGGUUGUCAGUAUCUGCAUGGUUUUGAUGACAAUGGUUCAUUCAGGGAGGUAAAGGACCUUGCACACACCCUGGUGUGACCCAUGGGAAACGGAUCAGAAAGCAGCCUUCAGACUGAAUCAUCUUCUUUGCUUCUUACUUUCUCAGAUAAAGAAACAAAAGCCAACAGAGGUCAAGUAAUUUUCACAAGGUUAUACAACUUGCUUACAUAAAAGCAAAAUCAUGGAGAAAAUCUGUUGGUAAAGAUAAACAGUAUUCUUCUCAAUUAUUUUCCUGCAGUUCUUUUAUUCUAGUCCAAGGCAGAUUUCUGAGCCAAUGGGUAAACACACUUAAUGGCUUUUUUUGAGAAACAUCUUUUCAUAUCCUUUGCUUGUUUUUAGAUCAGGUUAUGUGUUUUCUUGCUAUUAAGUUGUGUUCCUUGUAUAUUUUGGAUGUUAACCCCUUAUCAACUGCAUGGUUUGCAAAUAUUUUCCUCCCAUUUCACAGGCUGUCUCUUCACUCUGUUGUUUGUUUCCUUUGCUAUGCGAAAUCUUUUUAGUUGGAUGCAAUCCCAUUUGUCUAUGUUUGCUUUUGUUGCUUGUGCUUUUGCCAACAUAUCAUAAAAGUAAUUGCCCAGACCAAUGUCAAGAAGCUUUUUCCUGUUUUCUUCUAAGACUUUUACAGUUUCAAGUAUUGCAUUUAAGACUUUAGUUCAUUUUGAGUUUAUUUUUGUAUUUGGUAUGACAUAAAGGUCUAAUUUCAUUCUUCUGCUUGUGGACAUCCAGUUUUCCUAACAGCAUUUAUUGAAGAGACUGUUCUUUUUCCGAUGUGGGUUCUGGGCAUAUUUGCUGCAGAUCAAUCAACUGUGAAUGCAUGGAUUUUCUUCUGGACUCUGCUCUGUUCCAUUGAUCUAUAUUUCUUUCUUUUUUUUCUUUUUGUUUUGAGACGGAGUCUUGCUCUGUCACCCAGGCUGGAGUGCAGUGCACCACUGGAGUGCAUCUUGGCUCACUGCAACAUCUCCCUCCCAGGUUCAAGCAAUUCUCCUGCCUCAGCCUCCCAGGUAGCUGGGAUUACGGGUGCCUGCCACAGCCUGGCUAAUUUUUGUAUUUUUAGUAAAGGUGGAGUUUUGCCAUGUUGGCCAGGCUGAUCUCAAACUCCUGACCUCAAGUGAUCCACCCGUCUCGGCCUUCCAGAGUUCUGGGAUUACAGGUGUGAGCCACCUUGCCUGGCCAAUUAGUCUAUAUUUCUUUUUUUAAGUGACCACCAUGUUAUUUCAAUUUCCAAAGCUUUGUAGUAUAUUUUGAAAUCAGGUAGUAUGUUUCUAGCUCUGUUAUUUUUGCUCAAGAUUAUUUUAGUUGUGUAGCAUCUUUUGUGGCUCCAUGCAAAUUUUAGGAUUAUCUAUUUCUUUGAAAAAUGAAAUUUGAAUUUUGAUAGGAAUUGUAUUGUAGAUCACUUUGGAUACUACAUUUUGACAAUACUAAUUCUAAUAAUUCAUGAACAUGAAAUACCUUCCCAUUGAUUUGCAUUUUCUUUCAUUUCUCUCAUCAGUGUGUUAUAGUCUUUAGCGUUCAGCUCUUUCACCUCCUUCCUUAGUGAAAUUUUCUCAAGUAUUUUAUUUUUUUUGUAGCUAUUGUAAAUGGGCUUUUUUCUUGUUUUCUUCUUAGUUUGUGAUUGGUAUUAGAAACCCUACUAAAUUUUGUAUGUUGAUUUUGUAUCCUGUAACUUUACUGAACUUGUUUAUUAGUUCUAACAAUUUUUUUGGUGGAGUAUUUAAGAUUUUCUAUAUAUAAGAUCAUGACAUCAAAUGGAGAAAAUUUUACUUCUUCAUUCCUGAUUUGAAU